rnacentral:SRP_RNA from 1 species
GCCGGGCAUGGUGGUUCAUGCCUGUAAUCCCAACACUUUGGGAGGCUGAGGCAGGCGGAUCACCUGAGGUCAGGAGUUCAAGACCAGCCUGACCAACAUGGAGAAACCCUGCCUCUA